rnacentral:sRNA from 1 species
GCUAGGUGCAGUGGCAACCCCUGUAAUCCCAGCACCCAGGAGGCUGAGACAGGAGGAGGCAAGUUCAAGGUCCACCUGGGCAACUUGGCCAGAUCCUGUCUCAA